CAGGCCCUCCUCCAAGAGCAACACUCACAGGAACUGCUGUUGGGGGCAGGGAAUUCUGGAUGACUGUUGCCUUAACGACCUCACAAGGAACUGGAGCCUUAUUCUGAAUGACAGUCACUGGAGCACUUUGUUGCUGGUGAAGGAGUUGGAGAUACAUCAGCAACAGAAUCAACACGGACAACAGGAGUGGAAACUGGCUGCUGCUGAUAGUACAUCUGGAUGGGGAGUGGAAUAGCCCUCCGUUUCACUCCUAUUACAUGGAUAUGAGCCUGCCCACUGUUACUGGAAUCCUCCACUCUCUUUACUGUAUGAUUUGGAAAAACUGUUCUGUAAAAUAACACAUACUCAAUUAUGAAAACCAGCACAAGAACACAACACUGUCUCUAGUAAUGCUUAGCACACUGCCACUGUUACUAAUGUAUGGACCAAUAUGCUUCAAAAUGUCAUAUUCGGCAAAAGUGGAAUACAAAGAAAACUAUGUAGAAGAUUAAUUCUCCAAUUAAAAAGCCAUUAUUUAUUAACAA